GAGUUUGAUCCUGGCUCAGAUUGAACGCUGGCGGCAUGCCUUACACAUGCAAGUCGAACGGCAGCAUGAUCUAGCUUGCUAGAUUGAUGGCGAGUGGCGAACGGGUGAGUAAUACAUCGGAACGUGCCCUGUAGUGGGGGAUAACUAGUCGAAAGAUUAGCUAAUACCGCAUACGACCUGAGGGUGAAAGUGGGGGACCGCAAGGCCUCAUGCUAUAGGAGCGGCCGAUGUCUGAUUAGCUAGUUGGUGGGGUAAAGGCCCACCAAGGCGACGAUCAGUAGCUGGUCUGAGAGGACGAUCAGCCACACUGGGACUGAGACACGGCCCAGACUCCUACGGGAGGCAGCAGUGGGGAAUUUUGGACAAUGGGCGAAAGCCUGAUCCAGCAAUGCCGCGUGUGUGAAGAAGGCCUCCGGGUUGUAAAGCACUUUUGUCCGGAAAGAAAUGGCUCUGGUUAAUACCUGGGGUCGAUGACGGUACCGGAAGAAUAAGGACCGGCUAACUACGUG
rnacentral:rRNA from 1 species